rnacentral:rRNA from 1 species
UGGGGAAUUUUGGACAAUGGGGGCAACCCUGAUCCAGCAAUGCCGCGUGUGUGAAGAAGGCCUUCGGGUUGUAAAGCACUUUUGUCCGGAAAGAAAACUUCGGGGCUAAUACCCCUGGAGGAUGACGGUACCGGAAGAAUAAGCACAGGCUAACUACGUGCCAGCAGCCGCGGUAAUACGUAGGGUGCGAGCGUUAAUCGGAAUUACUGGGCGUAAAGCGUGCGCAGGCGGUGCUGUAAGACCGAUGUGAAAUCCCCGGGCUUAACCUGGGAACUGCAUUGGUGACUGCAGCGCUGGAGUAUGGCAGAGGGGGGUGGAAUUCCACGUGUAGCAGUGAAAUGCGUAGAGAUGUGGAGGAACACCGAUGGCGAAGGCAGCCCCCUGGGCCAAUACUGACGCUCAUGCACGAAAGCGUGGGGAGCAAACAGG